rnacentral:misc_RNA from 1 species
UUUAAUUAAAUAUUUAUAUAAACGGGUUCAAGUAAUGGAUACCCAAUAUAUAAAAUCCGAACCAGAUUCAAAUUCACUAUGGGUAUUAUUUUUUAAACACAAACCCGUUUCGAAUGCGAUUAUAUAAUACCCAAAUUCGUUCAAUUAGGGUUUGAUCGAAUCGAGUAACCGUAAAAACUCGAUCCGUUGCCAUUCCUAAAAAGCACCUAGUCCCAAAGAGCUACUAAAUUAUUUAGCUCUCAAAACUCUUGCCCGAAGCCCAUUCUCAUCAUGAAGGACAUGCCAACCUAGUUUAGCGAGGAAGGCUAUGUUCAUCUUCCUGCUCCUUCUAAUCCCAAGACCCCCCUUAACCAUCGAAAGUGUUACUUGAUCCCAGUUUUAACCAUCGGAAGUGUUACUUGAUCCCAGUUGACCAAAUGAACUCUCUUAUUGCCCCUUUGGUCACCCCAAACAAAACCUCUAAUUUUCUGGUCAAUCUUAUCACAUACUAACUUUGGUAAAAAAGAAGACUGCAUAAUGUGUUUAGGCAUGGUAGAAAGAAUAGACUUCAUAAGUGUCACUCUAUCAGUUAAAGACAAACACCGACUCUUCCAUCCAGCAAGAGCAUUAUCAAGCUUAUUAAAAACAAAUUCAAGAUCAGCUUUUGUAACUCUCCGAUGGAUCAUAGGAACCCCUAGGUACUUCCCCAAGUCGUUAGUUUCCUCCACGGCAGUAACCUCCACAAUUUUCCUUCGUAUCUCAGUAGAGACUUUAGAGGAGAAAAAGACUUUGGAUUUGGCAAAACUAACAUUUUGAGCAGAGGCCAACCCAAAUGUAUCCAAACAAUUUUUAAUCAUCCGAACUUGAUCCUCCGAAGCUUCAGCAAACAAUAAGAUAUCAUCAGCAAAAAAGAGGUGCAACAAGAGUAAGCGAUAUGGGCUUCCUAUUCUUAUUCUGAACCAGUAACUGAAUUUGGAGAGAUAGGAUCGCCUUGACGAACACCCCUAGGCAGAACAAAGGGAUUAGAAGGCGACCCAUUCCAAAGCACACGCAUAGGGGAGGAAUGGAUACAUGUCAGAAUCAAGCGAAUCCAGUGCUCAGAAAAGCCAGCAAGCUUCAAUGAAUCCUCAAUAAAAUCCCGUCUCACUCUAUCAUAUGCUUUUUCUAAAUCAAUUUUCAAUACCAUUCAACCAACCCGAGACACCCGUUUAGGCAUCAUAUGGAUAAUCUCCUGAAGAAUAAUGACAUUAUCAUGUAAUUGGCGUCCUAGAAUAAAACUACUCUGAGCGGGAGCAACUAGACUAGGCAAAACCAACCUCUUUCUAUUAGCUAGGACUUUAGUUAGCAGCUUGUAAGAGACAUUACACAAACUGAUGGGACGAAAUUGGUUAAUUUGCUCAGGAGCAUCGACCUUGGGAAUCAAAGUAACAAGAAUGUCACAAACAUUAGCUGGUAAAAUACCUUCUCUAAGAAAAUUUAAUGCAAAACUCACAUCUUAACCCACAAUCACCCAACUUUUUUGAAAGAAACAAGCUUGAAAACCAUCCAGUCCUGGAGCCUUAUAUGGAUCCAUAGCAAAUAGCGCAUCCUUCACUUCAGCUACUGAGACAGGCUUAUUCAACUCAUAACAAUGCUCAGCCGUCAACGAGGAAAGGGGAACGUUGGAUAGAACAGAAAAAGUCCCCAUUACCUUCUUCAGAAUACAGAUCCUUGAAAAAUGAUAAAGCCAUAUCUACCUAUUCCGAUUGAUCCCACACCCAAUUGCCUAAAUUAUCCUUGAGACACAUAACCCUUUUCUGUAGCUCUCAUAACAGCCAUAUCAUGAAAGUAGAAGUAUUCCUCACAACAUCUGUAAUCCAUCUUUAUCUGGCCUUUUGAAACCACAUCAACUCUUCUUGAUAGAGAACCAAAUUUAAUUCCUCAUGAACUUUCUAUUCCAAAGUAAUUAGACCAUUAUGAGCACAAACCUGCAACUGUUUUUGGAUCCCCUUUAAACGGUGCUCCCGCUGAUAGAGAUUUCCGAAAAUCUGAUGGCUCCAAUCUCUCCAAAUGACAAACUGUAGCACGUGGAAAACAAUUGCGCCAAUGUGAAUUACAUAAAGCCCUGUCAAGUCUGGCAACUCUGCAACUAUCUUGAGACCGACCACGCCACCAAGUAAACUGAGGUCUAGAAAAGCCCAAAUCCAACAGCUGUAAUUGAUUAAUCCAGUUACGAAAACCCUGACAAUGAUGAGCCACAUAAGAACCACAGCUAGUAGUUUCCUCUAGAGUCGCAUAUGUACACAAGUCCCCCACUAACACCCAAGGCAAAUUCGUAACUUUAUGUAUAUGGGCAAGAGAGGCAAACAAAUUAGUCGUAAGAUUUUCCUUUGGACUGCCAUAGACAACUGCAAAUUGCCAUCUCCGUCGAAAAGAAUGUUCAAUCAAGCAAUGAACCAACCGUGAGUGCGUAUGAAGGAUUGAUAACUGCAGACUCUCAGAUUUCCAUAACAACCAAAUGCCACCACUAAAACCAACAGCCUCCACACGUAUCCAAUUACUAAAACCCAAAUUCUGAACAAUCAAAUCAGCUUGAACACCAACUACCUUAGUUUCUACCAAAACCACCAAGUCAGAUCGAUAAUGACGACAUCUAUCCUUUAGAGUUCGCUGAGUCCGCUUACUCGUG